UACGAAGGGGGCUAGCGUUGCUCGGAAUCACUGGGCGUAAAGGGUGCGUAGGCGGGUCUUUAAGUCAGGGGUGAAAUCCUGGAGCUCAACUCCAGAACUGCCUUUGAUACUGAGGAUCUUGAGUUCGGGAGAGGUGAGUGGAACUGCGAGUGUAGAGGUGAAAUUCGUAGAUAUCCGGAGGAAUACCAAAGGCGAAGGCAGUGUCCUGGGGAGUGUCUGACGCUCAGGCGCGAAAGCUAGGGGAGCGAACAGG
rnacentral:rRNA from 1 species